GAUAAAAUUUUUAUAUUUUUUAUAAUUUAUUAUAAAUUUAUUUUACAUGUAAAUUUUAGUAUUAAAUUUUAAUUAUUUUAAUAAUAAUUAAUUUAAAUUUACAGUAAUUAAAAUUAAAAAUUUAAGAAAUUAAGAUUUAGUAAUAUUUAAAUUAAUAACUAAUUUUGUGCCAGCAGUUGCGGUUAAACAAAAGUUAAAUUAAAUUAUUUCAGUAUAUAAUAAAUAAUAGUUAAUUAAAUUAAAUAUUAAGUUAUUAAGUAAAAUUUUAAUUUAAUUAAAAAUUAUUUUAAAAUUAUGAUUUAAUAAAUUUUGUUAUAAACUAGGAUUAGAUACCCUAUUAUUAAAAAUUUAAUUAAAAAUACUAAAAUAGUAAGUAAUAUAUUAUUGAAACUUAAAUAAUAUGGCGGUAUUUUAGUUCAUUUAGAGGAAUCUGUCUAAUAAUUGAUAGUCCACGAAUAAAUUUACUUAAUUUAUAAUUUUGUAUAUCAUUGUUAAAAAAAUAUUUUUAUAUAAUAAUAAUAUUUUAAAAUUUAAAAUAAAAUUUAAUUCAGAUCAAGAUGCAGAUUAUAAUUAAGUUAAGAUGGGUUACAAUAAAUUUAUUUAAACGGAAAUAGUUUUUAAAAUUUAAUUGAAGGUGGAUUUAAAUGUAAUUUUAAUUAAUUUAUUAAAAUGAUUAAAAAUUGAAAUAUGUACAUAUUGCCCGUCACUUUCAUUUGAAAAUUGGAAUAAGUCGUAACAAAGUAGAGGUACUGGAAAGUGUUUCUAGAAUGAA
rnacentral:ncRNA from 1 species